AAUACCAAUUAUUAACCAUGUGCAUAACUACAAUAUCAUGUAGCAUGGAGCUGUCCGAUAAGUAGUCAGCUAGACGGAUACGUUUAGAAGGUUGCUUUCUAAGUAUAGUAAUAUAUUUAGAGAAGAGUUAAAACUCAAUAUGGGAUAGUGUGCAAAUAUUAUCGCUUAAUAAAAUACUAGAGUUGUCGUAGUCGCAAUAGACGGCACAGUGUGCGAUAAGCCUAUAACUUGUACUGUAGCAGGUAUAGAGCAAUGUAGGUAACGCUAAACAAGGCUAUUUCUCGUGACGUUCUUGAAAAGGAACUAUAAGACAUAACUAGGUUAAAGUAGCUCUCUGUCGAGAUAAUUUCCAGAAAACGAAUUUGGUAUUAGAUGGAUUUUAAUACAAACAGCAAUAUCUGAAUGAUGGGUGAAAUUUAUGGGUAGUCAAUCCCAUAUGUGCUUAGCUAAGGGCAAGAAGUAUAGAGGUCGCAACUUUAUGCUCAGACUUGUUCUCACAAUGAUUGAAUAAUUAAGAUAGAUAAUAUGUUGUAAGGGGAAACUCUAAUAAUAUAUAU
rnacentral:sRNA from 1 species